rnacentral:rRNA from 1 species
AGUGAACGCUGGCGGUAGGCCUAACACAUGCAAGUCGAACGGCAGCACAGUAAGAGCUUGCUCUUACGGGUGGCGAGUGGCGGACGGGUGAGGAAUACAUCGGAAUCUACUUUUUCGUGGGGGAUAACGUAGGGAAACUUACGCUAAUACCGCAUACGACCUACGGGUGAAAGCAGGGGAUCUUCGGACCUUGCGCGAUUGAAUGAGCCGAUGUCGGAUUAGCUAGUUGGCGGGGUAAAGGCCCACCAAGGCGACGAUCCGUAGCUGGUCUGAGAGGAUGAGCAGCCACGCUGGAACUGAGACACGGUCCAGACUCCUACGGGAGGCAGCAGUGGGGAAUAUUGGACAAUGGGCGCAAGCCUGAUCCAGCCAUACCGCGUGGGUGAAGAAGGCCUUCGGGUUGUAAAGCCAUUUUGUUGGGAAAGAAAAGCAGCAGGUUAAUACCCCGCUGUUCUGACGGUACCCAAAGAAUAAGCACCGGCUAACUUCGU